CCUUGUUUAUCAAAAACAUGGUUUUUCGAUUUUAUUUUAAAAUUUAAUCUGCCCACUGAGUAUUUAAAUGGCCGCAGUAUUUUGACUGUGCAAAGGUAGCAUAAUCAUUUGUUUCUUAAUUAGGGACUAGUAUGAAGGAUUGGACGAGAUAUUAUCUGUCUCAUUUUAAUAUUAUUAUAAAAUUUUAUUUUUUAGUUAAAAAGCUAAAAUUUAUUUAAAAGACGAGAAGACCCUAUAGAGUUUUAUUAAAAAUUUUAAUAAUAUUUUUUAAGUUAGUUAUAAUAAUAUUUUAAUUUUUAAUUAUAUUGGGGUGAUAAAAAAAUUUAUAAAACUUUUUAUAUAAAAAUUCAUUUAUUAGUGUAUAAAUUUGAUCUUAAAAUUUAAAUUAUAAGAAUAAAUUACCUUAGGGAUAACAGCGUUAUUAUUUUGGAGAGUUCUAAUCAAUAAAUAGUUUGCGACCUCGAUGUUGAAUUAAGAAAAAUAUUUGGUGAAAAAGUUAAAUGAUUAGGUCUGUUCGCCUUUAAAUUCUUCAUGAUCUGAGUUCAAACCG
rnacentral:rRNA from 1 species